rnacentral:rRNA from 1 species
CAAUGGGCGAAAGCCUGAUGCAGCGACGCCGCGUGAGGGAUGACGGCCUUCGGGUUGUAAACCUCUUCAGCAGGGAAGAAGCGAAAGUGACGGUACCUGCAGAAGAAGCGCCGGCUAACUACGUGCCAGCAGCCGCGGUAAUACGUAGGGCGCAAGCGUUGUCCGGAAUUAUUGGGCGUAAAGAGCUCGUAGGCGGCUUGUCACGUCGGGUGUGAAAGCCCGGGGCUUAACCCCGGGUCUGCAUUCGAUACGGGCUAGCUAGAGUGUGGUAGGGGAGAUCGGAAUUCCUGGUGUAGCGGUGAAAUGCGCAGAUAUCAGGAGGAACACCGGUGGCGAAGGCGGAUCUCUGGGCCAUUACUGACGCUGAGGAGCGAAAGCGUGGGGAGCGAACAGGAUUAGAUACCCUGGUAGUCCACGCCGUAAACGGUGGGAACUAGGUGUUGGCGACAUUCCACGUCGUCGGUGCCGCAGCUAACGCAUUAAGUUCCCCGCCUGGGGAGUACGGCCGCAAGGCUA